rnacentral:sRNA from 1 species
CACCGCCUGGGGAGUACGACCGCAAGGUUAAAACUCAAAUGAAUUGACGGGGACCCGCACAAGUAGUGGAGCAUGUGGUUUAAUUCGAAGAUACGCGCAGAACCUUACCAACACUUGACAUGUUCGUCGCGACUCUAAGAGAUUAGAGUUUUCGGUUCGGCCGGACGAAACACAGGUGCUGCAUGGCUGUCGUCGGCUCGUGUCGUGAGAUGUUGGGUUAAGUCCCGCAACGAGCGCAACCCUCACUUUUAGUUGCCAUCAUUUAGUUGGGCACUCUGAAAGAACUGCCAGUGAUAAGCUGGAGGAAGGUGGGGAUGACGUCAAGUCCUCAUGGCCCUUACGUGUUGGGCUACACACGUGCUACAACGGUAUCUACAACAGGAAGCAAGACUGCGAGGUCAAGCAAAUCCUUAAAAGAUACCUCAGUUCGGAUUGCACUCUGCAACUCGAGUGCAUGAAGCUGGAAUUACUAGUAAUCGUGGAUCAGCGUGCCACGGUGAAUGCGUUCCCGGGUCUUGUACACACCGCCCGUCACACCAUGGGAGUUGGUUCUACCUUAAGGCAAGGUUUAAAACCCUUGACCACGGUAUAGUCAGCGACUGGGGUGAAGUCGUAACAAGGUAGCCGUAGGGGAACCUGCGGCUGGAUUACCUCCUUUCUAAGGAUGAAUGAAAGUAAAAUUUCAUUCUAAAUAAUAUACAGGUAAUGUUGACCGUCCUCAUUUCUCUUCUUAAAGUAGUGUUUCUCUUGCAUGGGGGCCGGUAGCUCAGUUGGUUAGAGCACACCCUUGAUAAGGGUGGGGUCGAAAGUUCGAGUCUUUCUCGGCCCACCAAUUAAAGAUCAUGGGGGAUUAGCUCAGCUGGGAGAGCGCCUGAUUUGCAUUCAGGAGGUCAGCGGUUCGAUCCCGCUAUCCUCCACCAAAACACUUAGUUAUAAAAAAUUGUGAAAAAAAUAAUAAUUAAUAUCAAUAUCUAUAUCCGAACAUUAGUAAAGUUAUUAGCUAAUGUUCAAAAAAAAAUUUGAUUCAACACAGAAUUUUUUUCUG